rnacentral:rRNA from 1 species
GGAUUAGAUACCCUGGUAGUCCACGCCGUAAACGAUGCACACUAGAUCUGGGAGCCUCUGACGGAAUCCGGGUCGCAGGGAAACCAUUAAGUGUGCCGCCUGGGGAGUACGGCCGCAAGGCUAAAACUCAAAGGAAUUGACGGGGGCUCACACAAGCGGUGGAGCAUGUGGCUUAAUUCGAAACAACGCGAAGAACCUUACCCAGGUUUGACAUGCAUAGAUGCAAUUCGGGGAUAACUCGGAGCGCUGCCCUUUGGGUGAAAUAUGCACAGGUGUUGCAUGGCUGUCGUCAGCUCGUGCCG